GACGAACGCUGGCGGCGCGCUUAACACAUGCAAGUCGAACGGAAAGGCCUGCUUUCCCUUGUGGAUUGCGGGUACUCGAGUGGCGAACGGGUGAGUAACACGUGAGUGAUCUGCCCCCAACUUGGGUAUAAGCCUGGGAAACUGGGUCUAAUUCCCGAUAGGACUGCAGGGUGGUGCCUGUGGUGGAAAACGAUUUUCUAGUGGUUGGGGAUGAGCUCGCGGCCUAUCAGCUUGUUGGUGGGGUAAUGGCCUACCAAGGCGGCGACGGGUAGCCGGCCUGAGAGGGUGGACGGCCACAUUGGGACUGAGAUACGGCCCAGACUCCUACGGGGGGCAGCAGUGGGGAAUAUUGCACAAUGGGCGGAAGCCUGAUGCAGCGACGCCGCGUGGGGGAUGACGGCCUUCGGGUGGUAAACUCCUUUCGACCGCGAGGAAGCCACCUGGUUGGAAGGGUGGUGACGGUAGUGGUAGAAGAAGCACCGGCUAACUACGUG
rnacentral:rRNA from 1 species